CCUAAGGUAGCGAAAUUCCUUGUCGGGUAAGUUCCGACCCGCACGAAAGGCGUAAUGAUUUGAGCGCUGUCUCGACAAUGCACCCGGUGAAAUUGAAAUACCAGUGAAGAUGCUGGUUACCUGCGCCAGGACGGAAAGACCCCAUGGAGCUUUACUCCAGCUUGAUACUGGGAUCCGGUAUUGCAUGUACAGGAUAGGUGGGAGGCUGUGAAUCAUGGACGCCAGUCUGUGAGGAGCCGCUGUUGGGAUACCACCCUUGCGGUAUUGGGUUUCUAACCUGCGCCCAUGACCUGGGCGGGGGACAAUGUCAGGUGGGGAGUUUGACUGGGGCGGUCGCCUCCGAAAGGGUAUCGGAGGCGCUCAAAGGUUCCCUCAGGAUGGUUGGAAACCAUCCAUAGAGUGCAAAGGCAUAAGGGGGCUUGACUGCGAGACUGACGGGUCGAGCAGGUACGAAAGUAGGACUUAGUGAUCCGGUGGUAUGAAAGUGGGAUUGCCAUCGCUCAACGGAUAAAAGCUACCCUGGGGAUAACAGGCUUAUCACUCCCAAGAGUUCACAUCGACGGAGUGGUUUGGCACCUCGAUGUCGGCUCAUCGCAUCCUGGGGCUGUAGCAGGUCCCAAGGGUUGGGCUGUUCGCCCAUUAAAGCGGUACGCGAGCUGGGUUCAGA
rnacentral:rRNA from 1 species